rnacentral:rRNA from 1 species
UACGGAGGGUGCAAGCGUUGUUCGGAAUUAUUGGGCGUAAAGCGCGUGUAGGCGGUCUGUUAAGUCUGUUGUGAAAGCCCCGGGCUCAACCCGGGAAGUGCAUUGGAUACUGGCAGACUUGAAUACGGGAGAGGGUAGUGGAAUUCCUAGUGUAGGAGUGAAAUCCGUAGAUACUAGGAGGAACACCGGUGGCGAAGGCGGCUACCUGGACCGAUAUUGACGCUGAGACGCGAAAGCGUGGGGAGCAAACAGGAUUAGAACC